UACGUAGGGGGCAAGCAUUGUCCGGAUUUAUUGGGCGUAAAGAGCGUGUAGGCGGUUUGGUAGGUCCGCUGUGAAAACUCGAGGCUCAACCUCGAGACGCCGGUGGAAACCAUCAGGCUAGAGUCCGGAAGAGGAGAGUGGAAUUCCUGGUGUAGCGGUGAAAUGCGCAGAUAUCAGGAAGAACACCCGUGGCUAAGGCGGCUCUCUAGUACGUUACUGACGCUGAGACGCGAAAGCGUGGGGAGCGAACAGG
rnacentral:rRNA from 1 species